AACAACAGAGGAUAGAGCAACCUCCUGAAAAACCAGACGGCUCUUAAGCCCCCAAACCCUAGCCCUAGCCCCACACGUCUUCGCUGAGAGCUGCAAGUCCACCAAAGGCAUCGCCGUCGCCGUCGUUGACGCCAACGCCAUCGCCAUAAUCGAUGGUGGAGAGAGGCUUUCCCAAUGCGCCGACAGUUCGUCUUUGUUCCCGAGGUUAUGGACGAGGUCCGCGACCCCGUCUCCCACCACCGCCUAAAAAUAAAAAGGGAUAACCUUGUUAGAUCUGGGUCAUGGUGGCAAGAGAUGUUGUGAGUUCUUUGGAAGACUAUUGUGGAAUUGGAGAGUUUUGGAGUUGGUUUGGGUUUCAGUUCUUUAAUCGCAUCCGCCGUUGAAAUUUGGACGUUUCAGAGUUUUUUCAUGAUAACAAGGAUAUCUGCUAGUUCCUAUCCAAGGAGUAUUUGGAAAACUCGUGCCUACGCAAGUCAAGAUUUAAAUUUUCUCAGUUUAACUAUUUGAUUUUUCCAGAAAUUUUCUACAAGAUGAAUGUUUGCUCUCCCUAUUAAUUCAGGUUUUGAAUUGUAAGUCGUAAUUGAGUGGAAAUUUAGCCCUUUUUUGUCAUUCCAGUAAAUGAGGCUUAAUUUAGGUUUCUUUUUGUGUCUCUGAUGUUUGAAAGAAUUGUUAGAUCUGGGUCAUGGUGGCAAGAGAUGUUGAGAGUUCUUUGGAAGACUAUUGUGGAAUUGGGUAAAGGACAGUGCUUUGAAAAACUUGAAGACCAUACUGAAAUUUCAUCCAAA